AUACGGAGGGGGCUAGCGUUGUUCGGAAUUACUGGGCGUAAAGCGCACGUAGGCGGACCGUUAAGUCGGGGGUGAAAUCCCGGGGCUCAACUCCGGAACUGCCUUCGAUACUGGCGGUCUGGAGUCCUAGAGAGGUGAGUGGAAUUCCGAGUGUAGAGGUGAAAUUCGUAGAUAUUCGGAGGAACACCUGUGGCGAAGGCGGCUCACUGGCCAGGUACUGACGCUGAGGUGCGAAAGCGUGGGGAGCAAACAGGAUUAGAUACCCUAGUAGUCC
rnacentral:rRNA from 1 species